rnacentral:lncRNA from 1 species
GGGUAGAAUAAAUAAUUAAAAUUUAAAAAAAUUUAUCGAAUCUGAUUCAAUAAAUUUCGAUCGAUUAAAAGAUAUAAAUCGAAUAGAAUUAAAUUAAAAUUUAUAAAAAAUCAAUUAUUUACGAUUGAAUUCGAUUCUUACAUUUUUAACUCAUAUAAAAUCGAAUCCAAUCAAAAUAGUAUUUCACAAACUCACUUUCAUUUUAGGACGGCA